AACGAACGCUGGCGGCGCGCCUAAUACAUGCAAGUCGAACGAGAAGCUGUAGCAAUACAGUUGUACAGUGGCGAACGGGUGAGGAAUACAUGGGUGACCUACCCUCGAGUGGGGAAUAACCAGCCGAAAGGUUGGCUAAUACCGCGUACGCUUCCCAGUCUACGGGUUGGGAAGGAAAGCGAUGCCGUAGGUAUCGCGCUCAAGGUUGGGCUCAUGUCCUAUCAGCNGUUGGUGGGGUAACGGCUCACCAAGGCAACGACGGGUAGCUGGUCUGAGAGGACGAUCAGCCACACUGGCACUGCGACACGGGCCAGACUCCUACGGAGGCAGCAGUAAGAAUAUUGCGCAAUGGGCGAAAGCCUGACGCAGCGACGCCGCGUGGGGGAU
rnacentral:rRNA from 1 species